AUCCUGGCUCAGAUUGAACGCUGGCGGCAGGCUUAACACAUGCAAGUCGAGCGGGGGAAGGUAGCUUGCUACUGGACCUAGCGGCGGACGGGUGAGUAAUGCUUAGGAAUCUGCCUAUUAGUGGGGGACAACAUCUCNGAAAGGGAUGCUAAUACCGCAUACGUCCUACGGGAGAAAGCAGGGGAUCUUCGGACCUUGCGCUAAUAGAUGAGCCUAAGUCGGAUUAGCUAGUUGGUGGGGUAAAGGCCUACCAAGGCGACGAUCUGUAGCGGGUCUGAGAGGAUGAUCCGCCACACUGGGACUGAGACACGGCCCAGACUCCUACGGGAGGCAGCAGUGGGGAAUAUUGGACAAUGGGGGGAACCCUGAUCCAGCCAUGCCGCGUGUGUGAAGAAGGCCUUAUGGUUGUAAAGCACUUUAAGCGAGGAGGAGGCUACUUUAGUUAAUACCUAGAGAUAGUGACGUACUCGCAGAAUAAGCACCGCUAACUC
rnacentral:rRNA from 2 species